GACGAACGCUGGCGGCGUGCCUAACACAUGCAAGUCGAGCGAAUGAAGUUCUUUCGGGAAUGGGUUUAGCGGCGGACGGGUGAGUAACACGUGGGCAACCUGCCUCAUAGAGGGGAAUAGCCUUCCGAAAGGGAGAUUAAUACCGCAUAAGAUUGUAGUACCGCAUGGUACAGCAAUUAAAGGAGCAAUCCGCUAUGAGAUGGGCCCGCGGCGCAUUAGCUAGUUGGUGAGGUAACGGCUCACCAAGGCGACGAUGCGUAGCCGACCUGAGAGGGUGGUCGGCCACAUUGGGACUGAGACACGGCCCAGACUCCUACGGGAGGCAGCAGUGGGGAAUAUUGCACAAUGGGGGAAACCCUGAUGCAGCAACGCCGCGUGGGUGAUGACGGCCUUCGGGUUGUAAAGCUCUGUCUUCAGGGACGAUAAUGACGGUACCUGAGGAGGAAGCCACGGCUAACUACGUGCCAGCCGCCGCCGUAACAC
rnacentral:rRNA from 1 species